GAUGAAAGAACGUAGCGAAAUGCGAUACGUAAUGUGAAUUGCAGAAUUCAGUGAAUCAUCGAAUCUUUGAACGCAUAUUGCGCUCUCUGGUAUUCCGGAGAGCAUGCUUGUUUGAGUAUCAGUAAACACCUCAACUUCCAUAUCUUUUUUGAAAUGGGAGUUGGACUUGAGUGAUCCCAACGCUUUUCCUCACCGAAAAGUGGCGGGUUACUUGAAAUGCAGGUGCAGCUGGACUUUUCUCUGAGCUAUAAGCAUAUCUAUUUAGUCUGCCUAAAAAACAGAUUAUUACCUUUGCUGCAGCUAACAUAAAGGAGAUUAGUUCUUGUGCUGACUGAUGCAGGAUUCACAAAGACAGCUUCGGCCGACUUUGUAAACUCGAUCUCAAAUCAAGUAAGACUACCCGCUGAACUUAAGCAUAUCAAUAAGCGGAGGA
rnacentral:misc_RNA from 1 species